UUAGGAGUUUUGGAUGAAGAUCUUUCUGGACCACGAUGAUACUAAUGAUGAUGACAGCGACUACUUCUUGCCCCGUUGCUGUGUGCACGGCGCACGUUACCGUCAUUGUUUCGGAGGCAGCUCACAACAGCCGGGUGAGAUCUACCCCAGGGCCUUUGGAGAGAAGACUGACCUCCAGAUAUUUUGGAAGGGCCUAUCUCCUAUCAGGAGCUGAUUCUGGUCUGAGCUGAGAGCGUAUUCACGGGCCAAAGUCUGCUCCAAAGUAAACACGUCAUCACAUUCCUCACAGCCUGCAACCUCCAUGGGGAGAAGCUCGGGCCAUCAUGGUGCAAGGGUGCCUCAGUUUCCCUGUCGGUAACAUGAGGAUGAUCAUAAUAGCGACGAGCUCACAGAGUUCUUGCAGAGAUUAAAGACGGGUGUGGACCUCGGUGUAAAAUUACAACCAGAGAAGGCCCCCGCCCUGGGGCAAAGAUGUAACUGCGAGGACUUCAGUUCAUUUUGCAAGUCCUGGUUCUCCAUCUCUGUUCCCUUUGGAAACUUUCAGUCUUUGCUCUUUGAUGUCCACUCCUAUCAUAAUCAUGACAUUAUCAGACAUUGUCAUAUCACGAUCACGGCGGUAGCUCUCUCACAGAUACUGACAUGCUAAGUGCUUUGCACAUGGCUUCUCAUUUGUCAGAAACCCCCUCUGAGGUAUAUGGUUAACGUAGGUUACAGGCAACCCCAGGGCCCUGCUCUUAAUCUUGACUAUUGCCCUUAGCCAUUCCUGAGUAUCCAGUCUGUCACUCUGUGACCUUAGGCAUUAUGAUUAUUUCUCUUAGCCCCAAUUUCCUUACCUGUAAAAUGGAAAAAAUAACA